UUCAUUUUAGUUGUUCUUAACUUUAUAAAAAAAAAAAAAGGCAUGAGCCACCACGCCUGGCCUUGUGUUUCCUUUCAUAUGAAGUGCUUAUUUGUGCCUCUUGCUCAUUUUUCUAUUGGGUUAUAGUAUGUUUAGUACUUUAUGAAAUUUCUGCUCUAACUUUUCUAUUCCUCGGUAUCCCUGGUGGCUUAGGAAGGUCUAGUAUUUUACAGGUAAGGAAACAGAGGCUCAGAGGAGUGAAGGUGCUUGGUCAAAGUCACAGACUCUGUUGCAGCCCUUCUGCACUGAGCUAAUGCCUUCUGAGGCCUUCUGAGGCUCUAGGCCUCACUCAGAUACAUUUUCUGC
rnacentral:lncRNA from 1 species